AGGAGUCCACCCGCUGGCCAAGUACCUGUCCUCCCUGGAUGGGAAGUUCAGCGGUUUGUUCGUGGACGCCAGCUGGAGGGAGCUGUUUGGACGCCCGGAGCCACCUCCUUUCGAUCCUGUGGGCAUAGCCGGUCGGGUUUCUCAGUAUUUGGCCGGAGCUGCUGUUUCUCACCUGUGUCCGAUCUCAGAGGCCAUGCUGACCUGCAAACACAAGAGCCCCGACGAUGACUCCUGCCAGAAGUUUCUUCCUUUUAUCGGGCUGGUGAAGGUCGGCAUCGUGGAGCAGAACUUCAUGUCCACCUCAGUGGACUCUGAUGACAUCAUACUUGGAUCUCCUCCCUCCCAAUCAGGAGCACCGAUCAACAUCACCUCGACACCUCCUCCCUCCCCCUCCACCAG
rnacentral:lncRNA from 1 species